rnacentral:rRNA from 1 species
AGUUCGAUCAUGGCUCAGAUUGAACGCUGGCGGGAUGCUACAUGCAAGUCGAACGGCGGCACGAACUCCGGUCUGGUGGCGAGUGGCGAACGGGUGAGUAAUGUAUCGGAACGUGCCUAGUAGCGGGGGAUAACUACGCGAAAGCGUAGCUAAUACCGCAUACGCGCUCAGGGAAAACCGCUGAGGGACCUUCGGGCCUCGCACUAUUAAACGGCCGAUAUCGGAUUGGCUAGUUGGUGGGGUAACGGCUCACCAAGGCGACGAUCCGUAGCUGGUUUGAGAGGACGACCAGCCACACUGGGACUGAGACACGGCCCAGACUCCUACGGGAGGCAGCGGUGGGAAUUUGGACAAUGGGGGAAACCCUGAUCCAGCCAUCCCGCGUGUGCGAUGAAGGCCUUCGGGUUGUAAAGCACUUUUUGGCAGGAAAGAAACGGCACGGGAUAAUACCCCGUGCAACUGACAGUACCUGCAGAAUAAGCACGGCUAACUACGUGCCAGCAGCCGCGGUAAUACGUAGGGUGCAAGCGUUAAUCGGAAUUACUGGGCGUAAAGCGUGCGCAGGCGGUUCGGAAAGAAGAUGUGAAAUCCCAGAGCUUAGCUUUGGAACUGCAUUUUUAACUACCGAGCUAGAGUGUGUCGAGGGAGGUGGAAUUCCGCGUGUAGCAGUGAAAUGCGUAGAUAUGCGGAGGAACACCGAUGGCGAAGGCAGCCUCCUGGGAUAACACUGACGCUCAUGCACGAAAGCGUAGGGGAGCAAACAGGAUUAGAUACCCUGGUAGUCCACGCCCUAAACGAUGUCAACUAGCUGUUGGGGCCUUCGGACCUUGGUAGCGCAGCUAACGCGUGAAGUUGACCGCCUGGGAGUACGGUCGCAAGAUUAAAACUCAAAGGAAUGACAGGGACCCGCACAAGCGGUGGAUGAUGUGGAUUAAUUCGGUGCAACGCGAAAAACCUUACUAUGACAUGUCUGGAAUCGAAGAGAUUUGGGAGUGCUCGCAAGAGAACCGGAACACAGGUGCUGCAUGGCUGUCGUCAGCUCGUGUCGUGAGAUGUUGGGUUAAGUCCACCAACGAGCGCAACCCUUGUCAUUAGUUGCUACGAAAGGGCACUCUAAUGAGACUGCCGGUGACAAACCGGAGGAAGGUGGGGAUGACGUCAAGUCCUCACCAAAGCCCUUAUGGGUAGGGCUUCACACGUCAUACAAUGGUCGGGACAGAGGGUCGCCAACCCGCGAGGGGAACCAAUCCCAGAAACCCGAUCGUAGUCCGGAUCGCAGUCUGCAACUCGACUGCGUGAAGUCGGAAUCGCUGAAAUGACGCGGAUCAGCAUGUCGCGGUGAAUACGUUCCCGGGUCUUGUACACACCGCCCGUCACACCAUGGGAGUGGGUUUUACCAGAAGUAGUUAGCCUAACCGUAAGAGGGCGAUUACCACAUUAGGAUUCUGACUGGGGUGAAGUCGUAACAAGGUAA